rnacentral:rRNA from 1 species
ACAUGCCUACAACACAACAUUAAUGCAGUGGAUCCCAUUAGAACUCUGCACUUAAACGUACUCAUGCUAGAGUAGUAUUGGGAAGGGAAACCACUUGGGAAGUUCUAAUUUUUUACAUGUC